UAGCCGCGGUAAUACCAGCUCCUCGAGUGGUUGGGGCGUUUAUUGGGCCUAAAGCAUCCGUAGCCGGCUCUAUAGGUCCUCCGUUAAAUUCAACGGCUCAACCGUUGAGCUGCGGGGGAUACCGUAGGGCUAGGGAGCGGGAGAGGCGGACGGUACUCCGUGGGUAGGGGUGAAAUCUUAUAAUCCCGGGAGGACCACCAGUGGCGAAGGC
rnacentral:rRNA from 1 species